rnacentral:rRNA from 1 species
GACGAACGCUGGCGGCGUGCUUAACACAUGCAAGUCGAGCGGCGCGGCGAACGGGUGAGUAACGCGUGAGUAACUGCCCCCCUCUCUGGGAUAACAGUUGGAAACGGCUGCUAAUACCGGAUAGUGGGGGAUGGCUCGCGUCCUAUCCGCUUGUUGGUGGGGGAGUGGCCUACCAAGGCGACGACGGGUAGCCGGCCCGAGAGGGCGACCGGCCACAUGGGGCUGAGAUACUGCCCAAACUGCUACCGGAGGCAGCAGUGUGGAAUAGUGCACAAUGGGGGAAACCCUGAUGCAGCAGCGCCGCGUGCGGGAUGACGGCCUUCGGGUUGUAAACCGCUUUCAGCCAUGACGCGGUAGUGAAAGAAGAAGCACCGGCUAACUACGUGCCAGCCGCCGCGGUAAUUC